rnacentral:rRNA from 1 species
GACGAACGCUGGCGGCGUGCUUAACACAUGCAAGUCGAACGGAAAGGCCCUGCCUUGGUGGGGUGCUCGAGUGGCGAACGGGUGAGUAACACGUGAGUAACCUGCCCUUGACUUUGGGAUAACUUCAGGAAACUGGGGCUAAUACCGGAUAGGAGCUCCUGCUGCAGGGUGGGGGUUGGAAAGUUUCGGCGGUUGGGGAUGGACUCGCGGCUUAUCAGCUUGUUGGUGGGGUAGUGGCUUACCAAGGCUUUGACGGGUAGCCGGGCUGAGAGGGUGAGCGGCCCCGUUGGGCCUGAGAUACGGCACAGCCUCCUCUGGGACGCAGCGGUGGGGUAUGUUGCACUAUGGGAGGAAGCCUGAUGCGGCAACGCCGCGUGCGGGGUGACGUCCUUCGGGUUGUAAACCGCUUUCGCCUGUCCCGAAGCGUGAGUGACGGUAAUGGGUAAAGAAGCACCGGCUAACUCCGUG